rnacentral:rRNA from 1 species
GACAAACGCUGGCGGCAUGCCUAACACAUGCAAGUCGAACGGACAGAACAGGGAAGCUUUUCGGAGUGGAACUGGAAAGUUAGUGGCGGAUGGGUGAGUAACGCGUGGACAACCUACCUUGUAAAGGGGAAUAACCUCGAGAAAUCGAAGCUAAUACCCCAUAAUAACCUUGCUUCGCAUGAAGUAAGGAGGAAAGGCGGCCUUAGCGCUGUCGAUACAAGAUGGGUCCGCGUCUGAUUAGCUAGUUGGUGAGGUAAAGGCUCACCAAGGCGACGAUCAGUAGCCGGCCUGAGAGGGUGAACGGCCACAUUGGGACUGAGACACGGCCCAAACUCCUACGGGAGGCAGCAGUGGGGAAUCUUCCGCAAAGGGCGAAAGCCUGACGGAGCAGUGCCGCGUGAGUGAAGAAGGCCUUCGGGUUGUAAAACUCUGUCCUUAUCGAAGAGAGAGUGUUGUAGUAACUGACAAUACUAGGACGGUAGAUGAGGAGGAAGCCCCGGCUAACUAUGUG